AGAAUCCAUGCUGGAAUAGACGAUAAUCACCUUUCCUGAUGUACAAAGAAUAACUAUAGGUACACUCCUGUGUAUCCAACAUCAUAAAAUUGCAACGCACUCGGUCGGCCCUCAAAUAUGGCAGGCUGAGAGUAUGCUGAAACACAAUUUCAAAUAUUGGGAAAGAUAAAUCCUUUGUAGACGACUUAAAUACAAAACCAAGUGUUGUAAGCAUGAGAGUAGUCUUUGCACUACGAUCUGCUGAGAUUUAGCUUGUGUUUUACGAUUUGUUCAGCAAUGAACAUUUCUCCCCCCAUCAACAAUCAAACAAAGCAAUCUAGCCCAUCAAGCAUUGUAUUAACAAUGCUAGGCGGCUUUGCUAUAAAGGUGCGCAAGGCGUCUAGGUCACGUAAGAGUUUCGACAAGUCAUUGGUUUCUCGCAAGGUAGCCUAAGUCGUCAUAGUACAAGCUCAAAUCGGCCAAGUGUUCAAUACUUGGCCAGGCGACUCUAUACACGGACCAAGGAGCUUUCAUCAGUGCUACUACUACUUGUUGUAUUUCAACAAGUGUAGUCGUGCUGAUGAAAGCAUCAGGGUGGGUACCAGGAUUCUCUGCAAGUACUUAGCAGUAGGGUCUGCAGUAGGGCCAAAAUUGGAGUAGAGCAAUAAUUUCAGGUUUUGGCUCUGCUGAUGCCUGCAGGCAUUCUAGUUGGUAGGUAGUAGUCCCUACUAGCGACUCCAAGUGUCGGGACAUCUAUCAGAGCUCUUGGUGAAAUACAGGGCGAGUCCAUGCCUGCAGUAGGGCCAAAAUUGGAGUAGAGCAAUAAUUUCAGGUUUUGGCUCUGCUGAUGCCUGCAGGCAUUCUAGUUGGUAGGUAGUAGUCCCUACUAACGACUCCAAGUGCCCAGGCAUUCAUCAGAGAUGCUGGUGAAAUACACGGCGAGUCCAUAGAUCCUGCAGUGGGGCCAAAACUGGGGUAGAGCAAUAAUUUCAGGUUUUGGCUCUGCUGAUGCCUGCAGGCAUUCUAGUUGGUAGGUAGUAGUCCCUACUAACGACUCCAAGUGCCCAGGCAUUCAUCAGAGAUGCUGGUGAAAUACACGGCGAGUCCAUGCCUGCAGUAGGGCCAAAAUUGGAGCAGAGCAAUAAUUUCAGGUUUUGGCUCUGCUGAUGCCUGCAGGCAUUCUAGUUGGUAGCUAGUGGUCGCUACUAACGACUCCAAGUGCCGAAAAAACUAUUGGCGUCAUCGGCGAAAUACGCCAGCAGUCGGAAUUUGGGCCCACUACAGCCAGAACUUGUUUAGGGCCAUAAUUUCUGGUUUUGACUUUUAUUUUUUUGUCACUGGUCCUAGAUGUGCCUAUAGGUGCCUAGUAACGACUCAAGCGUCAAAAACUUAUUGGGUCAAUCGGCGAAUUGAUAAGCGAAAACGCGGAAAUGAGCCCGUUUUGCGUGCAUCCUCUACUGGCUUGCUACUGGAAAACGACGAGAAUUUUGAUUUUUUUUUUAAAGUUUAAUGUUUGGCCUUGGAUCGUGGCGCCGAAUAAAACUUUUUGUUUUAUUACGCUCCCGCCGGCCCAAUUCCACUACUGCCUUGCUACUGGGCGCGGCUCGGUUUGGCAAUAUUUUUUUGGAAAAAUCAAUGUUUGGUGAAAAUUUUGCCUACUGCCUUGCUACCGGGCGGCGACCGCGGGAAUAAAACUUUUUGUUUUAUUACGCUCCCGCCGGCCCAUUUGCACUACUGCCUUGCUACUGGGCGCGGCUCGGUUUGGAAUAAUUUUUCUCCAAAAAUCAAUGUUUGGUGAAAAUUUUGCCUACUGCCUUGCUACCGGGCGGCGACCGCGGGAAUAAAACUUUUUGUUUUAUUACGCUCCCGCCGGCCCAUUUGCACUACUGCCUUGCUACUGGGCGCGGCUCGGUUUGGAAUAAUUUUUCUCCAAAAAUCAAUGUUUGGUGAAAAUUUUGCCUACUGCCUUGCUACUUGGCGUCGAAUUGGAAUUGGUUUGGAAUUCACCAAGAUCGUAUUACUGACUUGUACCCGGACGUUAGCUAUGAAUUGGUUUGGAAUUCACCAAGAUCGUAUUACUGGCUUGUACCCGGACGUUAGCUAUGAAUUGGUUUGGAAUUCACCAAGAUCGUAUUACUGGCUUGUACCCGGACGUUAGCUAUGAAUUGGUUUGGAAUUCACCAAGAUCGUAUACUGGCUUGCUACUAGGCGUCGAAUUGGAAUUGAACCAAAUUCACCAAGAUCAUACUACUGCCUUGCUACUAGGCGUCGAAUUGGAAUUGAACCAAAUUCACCAAGAUCAUACUACUGCCUUGCUACUAGGCGUCGAAUUGGAAUUGAACCAAAUUCACCAAGAUCGUACUACUGGCUUGUACCUGGACGUGAAAAUGAAAUCUCGUCUAAAAUGUCACUACUGGCUUGUUACUGAAGCAGUAGCAGUGCAGUAGUGGUCGAAAUGCCCGAUUUGGCCAGUUUUGCUAUCGUAAAUGGAUCUCGAUAGCAGCGCGCACUCUGAAAAAUGCAUUCUUGUACCCAAAUCUAUGCACAGGGCUGCAGUAGUGCCUGCCAGUAGCAGUUUUGAGCCAAAUUCGUCAAGUUGGCCGGAAAUUUUUUUUUUGGUGACAAGAUAGCAAAUUGUCUAGAAUGGUUAUAAAAGUGAGUUACAUAGUCCAUAGUGUCGUAUUUAGUGAGAAAACAGCAAAACACGGAUCGGGAAUCGAUCUGUGCACGGAUCAAAGUGCUCGAAAUGGACUGCAGAUAGCAUAUCUAGUCGUCUUAUGCCUAGUCUAGCACAGAAAUAUAGUUUAGUCGCACUCUGCAAACGAUAAUUUGGCAGUUCACUUUUCGAACGGCCCUUAUGCCUGUAAAAAAGUGAACUGCCAAAUACGAUGGAAAAGGCGGCCGUUCCAGAAUCGGCCAUAUUAGCCUGACUAGACUGCAUCCCGUCCGCUCUGCAAAGUUACAGGCUCAGCGUGGGUAGUACUC
rnacentral:rRNA from 1 species